rnacentral:lncRNA from 1 species
AUUUGAGGAAACGAUCUAUCAUGAGGAGUUGCCUGACUCCAACCUGUCAAGCGUUACGAAACAACAUUUCGCAUGAUGUUUAGGGGUCCUUGUUAUUUUUCCUCUUUUAAAAGCUCAAAGUUGAGCUGUUUGGAGCUGGUUGAUUGUAAAUUAGACCAUUAAAUAUAUUUCAGUCUCAAAACUUCAUCAAUAAAUGCUGCUAUAAUCAAUAUUUUCUUUUACUUUUGUAAAAAUUAAUAGUAAGCACGUGCGUUGCACAUUUUAUGUAUAAGACGAAUGAUAUGCCUAAUAUUUUUAUGUACUAAUAAUGUUCAAUAUUACUAAUAUAUAUAUAUAUACACACAUAUACAUACACACAAUUUUUAUAAAAUUAUGUAUAAUGUGAAAGGUUAAAUAAUUUGUACACGAUAUUUUUGUUAACAUCCUACAACUUUUCUUCCUUCUUAUUUUCUAUUUUAAGUUUUUUUAUCAAAACUUUUGUUGUUUGCAUUGAAACUCCACAAAAAAGUGUAAGAUAUAGUUGUCCAUAGGAUAAUACAUGUUCUAAAAUGUAUAUUCUAAUAGUAAGCAUUGUUUUUCCUUAAGCUUUGUUAACCGACUUAAUAAAAUAUGUCAUUUCAAGUAAAUUAUAAAAAUAAAUAGUAUUAUUGUAAUUUCUUUUAAUUGUAUGUAAUAAAAUUUCUAUUAAUUGCGUACUAAUAAUUAGUAAUAAUUGUAUUUAGUGGAAAUUAAUUGACUUAGUUUUUUAAAGCAAUAAUAAUUAUUAAUUAUCUUAUUUAGAAGUUAUAAAUUGAGUAUUAAAGGGGCAUUGUUCACCAAAAAUAUAAAAACAUAAAAGUAAAAUGUGAAAUUGAAUGUUUAUCAUCUAUUCACAAUUAGGUUAUUGAAAAAUGAAUUAUUUUUUUUUAUCAUAUUUUAUAAAAUUAAUAUAAAGUAAUGGUGAUUAAAGAGUUGAUAGAUUAUUAUAAAAUGACUUUUCAUCUAAUACUUAUUAAGUAAAUAUUAGUUAAUGGGAUUUUUUUUUACUAUUAUUUUUAUUUUCAAUGAAAUCUUUUAGGAAUGCACUAUUCUUUUAAUUUGUAAUAUUAGGUUUAAAAAAAUUUAAGCGUAUAUAUAAUUUUAUUGUUUUUAUAAACCUUAUAUAUUAAUGUUAAUUGACUUAAUAGUCUAUGCCAUUUCAUUUUAAUUAUAUAUGUGGUAUUGUUAUAAUUUUUAUUUUGUUUUUAUAUAAGUUUUUAUUAAUCAUAUACUUAUAAUUAGCAAUAAUAGUGUUUAGUGGAGAUUAAUUGACUCAAUUUAAAAGAUAAAUCAUUUUAAUUUUAAUAAUUAUUGAAUUUAGUUGAAAUAAAUUUAAUUUUAAGAGUAUUAUUGACCAUAAACAUAAAAAUAAAAGGGUAAAAUGGAAAAUUAAAUAUAUGAGGAUAAAUGAGGGUAUAUUGGACUUAAAGAUAAAUAUGUAAGGGUACAAUUGGUAAUCAAAAGUUUCUCCUCAAUCCCCACUUUUAAUAUAUUGUAGAUAGAUAUAUUAAAGAAUUGGUUCUUAAAUUAAAAGAAGGUAAAAUGUUUAGGGAUCCUUGUCAUUUUUCCUCCUUCAAAAGCUCAAAAUCGAGCUGGUUGAUUGUAAAUUAGAUUCUUAAAUGUUAAAGGGUUCUUCGUUUGAGAAUUGAGACACCCCAAUCUUCAAGGAGCUCAUUGUUUUAAUGAUAUUUAGUAUAUUCUUUUAAAGUAAUCUACCCAAAUUUGUAGACAGAGUUUUCCCAAGUUCAGCAAAGACAACAUCAAGCAGCCUACUGCAGCUCAUUACCAUGAAGUGUGUCCUACUAACCAUUAGAAGUUAACAUCCUUCAAUACUAGACCCACUUCAACUAUUUUAAAAUAUCAAAUUUAUGCUGUCUGUUGGCCUUGUAAGAGCAUCAUGACACAAUAAAUAAUGGCAUGUUUAUCACAAAAUGCUAAAAAGAAUGAGGUCCCAAACCACAUUCCAUGUGCACCAACUGCUCUAUCGAAAAGGGCAUUGAGUUGUGCUUGCUGUCUAUACAAAAUCAAAUCAAAACUGUGAAAAAAACAACAAAAUGAGCAAGUCUGUCUUUUGUUUACAUUAUCCCUGAUCAUAUCCAGUAAAUGUCACCCUUAUUAAUUUUAAUAUUCGGAAACUUGUCCCAGUCCAAAUCAGAUUUUUAAUCUCCUAAAGCUGAUUUUGAAUAAAAAAUUAUGAAUCUUCCAGCCUCAUUCAAAAUUUACAAUCAACGUAGUAUACAUACACAAUCAUAGAAAUAGGGAUAAGAAAAUGCCAUCACAAGUUAUUUCGAGAACCAAUGCAAAUGAUUGAAAAACGAGUAAAAGAAGCCGACUAUAUGUAUAGAGAGAAGCGGAGAUACCGAAUAAGGAGAGAUAUUAGCCGAUGGCAUGUGUCAAACACUGGACCAGGUAAUUGAGGUAUGAUUAGAUGCAGCGGCAACGGCUCGAAGAAGAAGAUGUGGAGAAGGGUUGAAUUCUAGACGUGGGUUAUGGCAUUUCCUCUGCCUUUUAAAUGGAUAGUUAUAGAUUUAUUUAUUUUGAAAAUCAAUUGUAAUUGAGCUAUGUUUCUAAGGCCAUGUUUUUA